rnacentral:rRNA from 1 species
GAUGAACGCUGGCGGCGUGCCUAAUACAUGCAAGUCGAGCGAACAGACGAGGAGCUUGCUCCUCUGACGUUAGCGGCGGACGGGUGAGUAACACGUGGAUAACCUACCUAUAAGACUGGGAUAACUUCGGGAAACCGGAGCUAAUACCGGAUAACAUGUUGAACCGCAUGGUUCAACAGUGAAAGACGGUCUUGCUGUCACUUAUAGAUGGAUCCGCGCCGCAUUAGCUAGUUGGUAAGGUAACGGCUUACCAAGGCAACGAUGCGUAGCCGACCUGAGAGGGUGAUCGGCCACACUGGAACUGAGACACGGUCCAGACUCCUACGGGAGGCAGCAGUAGGGAAUCUUCCGCAAUGGGCGAAAGCCUGACGGAGCAACGCCGCGUGAGUGAUGAAGGUCUUCGGAUCGUAAAACUCUGUUAUUAGGGAAGAACAAAUGUGUAAGUAACUAUGCAUGUCUUGACGGUACCUAAUCAGAAAGCCACGGCUAACUACGUG